GACACUUUCUAAAAGCCACCCGAAAUUAGGGGUGCCUCAACCUGCUUUGUCUACAGAUUCAUCAGAGCAAGAGGUUGCUGUCCGGGAUGGUUCCCUCCACAAGCUCCGGUCAGAGAUGACUACAUUCAGGUAAGAACGUUGGUUCAGGACCAAAUGAUGCCUGUAUCUUCCUGGAGGGUGGGGUGUGCAGUUACUCCUUGUUGCAUGCCUUUUAGAUGGCUGACAGACACGUGCUAUGCCAUGAAGCCCGCCACAGCUGGGCAAUGGGAGUAAAACGUGGGUGAAGGAUAAACAAGAUCUGAGUAGAAAGUCAAGACAGCGGUUCUUUCUACAAGGCCCCUACAACUCCCGUUUGGCAUAUGCACCAUUUAGACUCAAGGGAGAAGAGAGAUAAUUCACAUUUUCUUUCCUGAUGCUGAGGGUACUUUUACUUUUCUUUUAGUUCCCUUUUAUAUACCUGUGGUAUCUGGGGCAACUCAUCAGCCAUUAAGAAAAUGACCAGGCACCAGACCAUGCUUUUAGGUCCACCAUAGAACCCAGGGUAUAUACCUGCCACGUUCUUUCCCACCUAGCGUAUGCCAGGUACCUCCAGCCAGGGAAGCCAUUGACUCUAGUACAAUCACAGGGACAGCAAGCCUGCCACAAGCCUUUGUCUCUGUGCCUGAGUUUGUUGUGACAGUCAUCAAUUCAAAUGGGGAAGAUUAAAAUGACCAAAAAGUUCAUUGUGCCCUAGACUCCCAAAGGAGUUCAAAAAUGUCUUAAGAAGUGGUUGGGAGGGACCUUUGAGGAGAGAGUAGCUCCCUCCCCAGAGUUGAGGGGAGUCAGGCAGAGCCUCUGGCCCCCAACCCCAAGCUCCCAGCUGCACACCUGCACUCUUUAUUGUGGGAAUGCUAUAUAAGGCAACUCUCUACCAUACAACACCCCAAACCUUUGUGCUGGUUGGGGCAGAGGGAGCUAGCACGGAAAGGCAGACAAGCCCAUCACCUAUUCAGUUCCCAGGCCCCUGCAAGUGUCCGGGCCACCCCAGGCUCACUCUUGCCUCUCUGCCUUUUCUAAUUAGCUCUGUCCCACUGCCCUGUCACCUUCAAAGCUCACAGUAGGUCCCACACAUCAUGAGUGCACAACAAACAUGACAUUAAACAAGGACUAUGUGUAAAAUAAAGGCAGAUAGAGGUUUGAUCCUUAUUAUCUGAGAGCUCAGGUUUGGUUUGGAUUUUUUUGAGACAGGAUCUUAGUAUCCUAGGUUGGCCUAAAUUAGGAUGGCAGGCCUACAGGCUUAGACCAACCUCAGCCCGUUUAUAGAGAGCUCUCUUUUUCUUUUCUUUUCUCCUUUUCUUUUCUUCUUUUUCUCUUCUUUUUUUUUUCCCUCUGUGUUGUACCUACAGCUUCAUACGGCAAGUGCUCUACUUAGCUGUAUCCUUAACUACAGAAAACUUUAAAAAUUGAUCUUUACAAAUAUAAUAUGAUUCUACUUAUAGGAGGAACCCAGAGGUCAAAUUGAUGGAAACAAACAAACGAACGAACAAACAAAAAAUAGAGCAGAUAUCAAAACCACUAGCCAGUGUUUGAUGAGUUUGAAUUUGUAGUUUAAGGAGUUGGAAAUUAUGAGAGACCGUGUCUCAAAAAAACAAAAAGGAAAAGGAAAAGAAAAA
rnacentral:lncRNA from 1 species